GAAAAGUUUUAUUGGACUCAGCCACAGCCAUUUGCUUAUGUAUUACCUGUGGCUUCUUUCCAAUUAUGAACGCAGAGUUGAGUAGUUGCACCAGAGACUAUGGCCCACAAAGCCAAAAAUACUUCCUAUCUUAAACUUUACGCAAAAGUUUGCCUUCCUCUGUUCUAGGCACUUGGGCUGCAUCAGUGAAGAAAACAAAGAUCCCUGUGUUGGAGGAGGUCAUCCAGAGGACGUGACUACUGGUUGACCCAAUAGUGAGACCAGGGCAGUCAGAGGCUCCGUACUUCUCCACUGUCCUUGGAAGGAUAUACUACUGGAAAACAUGUGGAAAAUAUUGCUACAUACAUACAAAGGAAGAAUUAUCAUGACAAAUUACUCAGUAUGGGAUGCUUGUUAUACAAAUUAGAUGAGAGCACAGAUGUUUCUCACGUCUCAGCUAACGGUAAGCGCUAGAGUUUGUUUCAGCAGGGGAAUUUAGGAAGAACUACAUUUUUGAAUGAAUUACUAAAGGAAAGAUAUACAGAUAAUAAUUGUAUAUGACUUACUUAAAACAUUGUUCUAUAGUCAAAUUAUAUAAUACAUAGCUUUUCCCUACUUUUGAACUAUCUUCUUUGGAUGAGUUCUCAGAAACGCCACUCACCAUUUCGUCUACUACACUGUCAACUUUUCCCCAAGGCGUGGAAGAAUCUCUGGCGUGCCCUGUGAGAGCACAGGGACAGAGUCCAACUUGUGUACUCUGCUAAGGAGUUGGGACUUUAUCCUGGGGGACACGAAUGAGAUUUUCGAUUUUGGAUGGUCAUUGUCUGGAGGUGGCAAUGAGCCCGAAAGAGGCAAGGUCAGAGGCAGGGACAGUUGGGAAGCAGCGAAGAUGAGCUGGAGGACAGGUCAUGGCACCCUGAACUAGGACAUGGCAGAUGACACAGGAUGUGGAAUGAAAGUGACACAAUGUCAGGAAUGACUCUCAGGGUUCUGGCGGUAAGUUAGGGAGCGAGAACAUCUGGAAUAGACUUUUGGGAAUAGACCGGGGGUAGGCUGCGCUUUCAGCAGAAUUGCAGUUGCGGAGCUCCCUUCCUAACAUUUAGCUCUCCCCUGUCUGCAGCAUCUGGCCAUCCUCUCGCAACCUCUCACAUCCGGGUAUCCUCCCACAUCCGGGUAUCCUCCCACAUCCGGGUAUCCUCCCGCCUCCGCAUCCAGGGAUCCUCUUCCAGGUGCGUUAGGAGGUCUGUGCCCUCGUGCGAGUCUUUGGCUGUUCAGCCAUUCUUUAUGCACCCAACCUCUAGGCGUGGGACAGCACUCUCGCCUCAGUUCCUCCAGUGUCUCUUUCACGUCCUUUUCUUCCUCACUCUACCAACCAAACGUUCAUUCCCUUCAGGCUCUGGGUUAGGAAAAUAAAAUGGCCUGACUACAGAAAGGAAACUCCAAAAUUUAUGGGCUUGUGAUUGCAGUUCAACUAUUGUGUUUGGAGUGAAAUCCCUUUCUUUGAGCAGUUUUAACGGGGGUCAUCCAAAGCGAAGUGGGUAUACUUGAAUGCCACAGUAGUAUCUGGAAGAAGAAACACACUGUAUUUCCAAGAGUCUGUAGAAGGAAGAGUUUGAAAGUGUGAUGAAAUGAUAUCUUUACUUUUUCUUAUUUUAGAAUUCUCAGUCGGUGUGCAUAAUAUACUACCAUUUGUAAAAAGAAAAAAAUGUGUGAUGUAUAUACUUAUAUAUGCACAUAACACACAGGAAACUAUUAAGAGGGGUUGCCUUUGGUGAGGGGGCCUGGGAAUACAUAGGUGUGGAGAGAGACAUUUCUCACUGUAUAUCAGUAAUUCUCAACCAUUUUAGUCUUAGGAUUCCUUUAACUCUUAAAAAUUAUUGGAGUUACCAAACAGUUUUUGUUUAUGUCAGUAAUAUGUCUAUCAAUAUUGACUGUAUUAGAAAUUAAAACAGAGAUCUUAAAAAUACUUAUUUAUUAAUUCA